rnacentral:rRNA from 1 species
UACGGGGGGUGCGAGCGUUAAUCGGAAUAACUGGGCGUAAAGGGCACGCCGGCGGUCAUGUAAGUGAGGUGUGAAAUCCCCGGGCUUAACCUGGGAAUUGCAUUUCAUACUGGGAGUCUAGAGUACUUUAGGGGGGGAUAGAAUUCCACGUGUAGCGGUGAAAUGCGUAGAGAUGUGGAGGAAUACCGAAGGCGAAGGCAGCCCCUUGGGAAUGUACUGACGCUCAUGUGCGAAAGCGUGGGGAGCAAACAGG